rnacentral:rRNA from 1 species
GGCAGCAGCUAAGAAUAUUCCGCAAUGGACGAAAGUCUGACGGAGCGACGCCGCGUGGAUGAUGAAGGCCGGAAGGUUGUAAAAUCCUUUUAUGACUGAGGAAUAAGUUCUCUGAGAGAAACGGAGGAUGGUGACUGUAGGUCAUGAAUAAGCAACGGCUAAUUACGUGCCAGCAGCCGCGGUAACACGUAAGUUGCGAGCGUUGUUCGGAAUUAUUGGGCGUAAAGGGCAUGUAGGCGGUUAUGCAAGUCUGGUGUGAAAUGCCGGGGCUUAACCCCGGAACUGCGUUGGAAACUGCAUAACUUGAGUCGCUGAGGGGCAGCCAGAAUUCCAGGUGUAGGGGUGAAAUCUGUAGAUAUCUGGAAGAAUACCAAUGGCGAAGGCAGGCUGCCAGCAGAUGACUGACGCUGAGGUGCGAAGGUGCGGGGAGCAAACAGGAUUAGAUACCCUGGUAGUCCGCACAGUCAACUAUGUACACUAGGUGUCCGUUCAUGAGAAUGGGUGCCGAAGCAAACGCGAUAAGUGUACCGCCUGGGGAGUAUGCCCGCAAGGGUGAAACUCAAAGGAAUUGACGG